rnacentral:rRNA from 2 species
AUGGACGGCCAUAGUGGCAGGGAGCUACCUGUUCCCAUUUCGAACACAGAAGUAAAAACUGCCGACGUUCCAGCCGGUACUGCACUAUGUGUGGGAAAACUGGUUCGCUGUCCGCC